rnacentral:other from 1 species
UAGACCCUACUGUGUGCGUGAUUUGUCGAAUAGUUUUUGCCAACACUAAAACUAUGGGAACUUUUCUCCGAGUGUAGAUGUAAACCCAUGAUUGUGGGGAACAAGAAGCAUCCGGGCAGUGCCCACCUGAGUAUUCAGGUUUAAACGUCGGCGACACGGCUCAGUGGGGUUUUU